rnacentral:rRNA from 1 species
UACAGGGGGUGCAAACGUUGCUCGGAAUUAUUGGGCGUAAAGCGCACGUAGGCGGUCUGUUAUGUCGGAUGUGAAAGCCCUUGGCUCAACUGAGGAAGUGCAUUCGAAACUUCUGAGCUUGAGUUCUGGAGAGGAAGGCGGAAUUCUCGGUGUAGAGGUGAAAUUCGUAGAUAUCGAGAGGAACACCGGUGGCGAAGGCGGCCUUCUGGACAGUGACUGACGCUGAGACGCGAAAGCGUGGGGAGCAAACAGG